rnacentral:rRNA from 1 species
GCCGCGUGGGUGAUGAAGGCCUUCGGGUCGUAAAGCUCUGUCUGGGGGGGGAAAGGGUUGGGAGCUAUUACCUCUUGAUUGACGGGCCCUCUGAAAGGCACCGGCUAACUCCGUGCCCCCAGCCGCGAUAAUAU